rnacentral:rRNA from 1 species
UACAGAGGGGGCAAGCGUUGUUCGGAAUUACUGGGCGUAAAGGGCGCGUAGGCGGCCUUCUAAGUCGAACGUGAAAUCCCCGGGCUCAACCUGGGAACUGCAUUUGUGACUGUAGAGCUGGAGUGCGGCAGAGGGGGAUGGAAUUCCGCGUGUAGCAGUGAAAUGCGUAGAUAUGCGGAGGAACACCGAUGGCGAAGGCAAUCCCCUGGGCCUGCACUGACGCUCAUGCACGAAAGCGUGGGGAGCAAACAGG